rnacentral:rRNA from 1 species
ACGGGAGGCAGCAGUGGGGGAUAUUGCACAAUGGGGGAAACCCUGAUGCAGCGACGCCGCGUGAGUGAUGAAGUAUUUCGGUAUGUAAAGCUCUAUCAGCAGGGAAGAAAAUGACGGUACCUGACUAAGAAGCCCCGGCUAACUACGUGCCAGCAGCCGCGGUAAUACGUAGGAUCCGAGCGUUAUCCGGAUUUAUUGGGUUUAAAGGGUGCGCAGGCGGCUUUCUAAGUCAGUGGUCAAAUCGUGGUGCUCAACGCCAUCCCGCCAUUGAUACUGGAGAGCUUGAUUGCGGUCGAGGUUUGCGGAAUUCGUCGUGUAGCGGUGAAAUGCAUAGAUAUGACGAAGAACACCGAUUGCGUAGGCAGCAGACCAGGCCGUAAAUGACGCUCAUGCACGAAAGUGCGGGGAUCGAACAGGAUUAGAUACCCUGGUA